GACGAACGCUGGCGGCGUGCUUAACACAUGCAAGUCGAACGGUGAAGCGCCUUCCUUUUUGGUGGGUGUGGAUGAGUGGCGAACGGGUGAGUAACACGUGAGUAACCUGCCCCCUUCUUCUGGAUAACCGCAUGAAAGUGUGGCUAAUACGGGAUAUUCUGGGUCUGUCGCAUGAUGGGUCUGGGAAAGAUAUUGUUUCGGUGGGGGAUGGGCUCGCGUCCUAUCAGUUUGUUGGUGGGGUGAUGGCCUACCAAGGCGGUGACGGGUAGCCGGCCUGAGAGGGUGGACGGUCACACUGGGACUGAGACACGGACCAGACUCCGACGGGAGGCAGAAGUGGGGAAUAUUGCACAAUGGGCGCAAGGCUGAUGCAGCGACGCCGCGUGAGGGAUGGAGGCCGUCGGGUUGUGAACCUCUUUCGCCAGUGAAGCAGGCCUGCCUCGUUUGUGGGUGGGUUGACGGUAGCUGGAUAAGAAGCGCCGGCUAACUACGUG
rnacentral:rRNA from 1 species